rnacentral:rRNA from 1 species
GACGAACGCUGGCGGCGUGCUUAACACAUGCAAGUCGAACGGGAUUUAGUAGACAGAAGCCUCGGCUAAAGAUUACUAAUGAGAGUGGCGAACGGGUGAGUAACGCGUGAGCAACCUGCCUAUUACAGUGGGAUAGCCUCGGGACACCGGGAUUAAUACCGCAUCAAAUCGUAGAAACACAUGUUUUAACGGUCAAAGAUUUAUCGGUCAUAGAUGGGCUCGCGUCUGAUUAGCUAGUUGGUGAGAUAACAGCCCACCAAGGCGACGAUCAGUAGCCGGUCGGAGAGGAUGAACGGCCACAUUGGAAAUGAGACACGGUCCAAACUCCUACGGGAAGGAGCAGUGGGGAAUAUUGCACAAGGGGGGAAAACCUGAUGCAGCGACGCCGCGUGAAAGAAGAAGGUAUUCGUAUCGUAAAGUUCUGUCCUAUGGGAAGAUAAUGACAGUACCAUAGAAGAAAGCUCCGGCUAAAUACGUG